GACGAACGCUGGCGGCGUGCUUUACACAUGCAAGUCGAACGAAUUGGCGAACGGGUGAGUAAUACGUGGGUAUCCUGCCCUCCUUUUCGGGAUAAGCCUUGGAUACGGGGUCUAAUACCGAUUACAGGGGGAUGGGCUCGCGGCCCAUCAUCUUGUUGGUGGGGUGAUGACCUACCACGGCGGUGACGGGUAGCCGGCCAGAGAGGGUGACCGACGACAAUGGGACUGAGAUACGGGCCAGUCUCCUACGUGAGGCAGCAGUGGGGGAUAUUACACAAUGGGCGAAAGCCUGAUGCAGCGACGCGGCUAGGGGGAUGAAGGCUUUCGGGUUGUAAACCUCUUUCGCUAUAGAACGGGUAGGUGGAGAAGAAGCGCCGGCGAACUACGAGCCAGCAGCCGCGGUAAGAC
rnacentral:rRNA from 1 species